UUUUCCCCAAGCUUCAUCCCUCCCCUGGGGCAUCUCGGUGGAAGGGAGAGGAAGAUAUGAUUGGUCGCCCCUAUAUAAGGCCUGGCUGGAAAGUCUCUGGAGGCUGCUCUUGUGUUGAGAUCGGAGGGCCGCCCCGUGGCCUAGCCAGACCCUGGGCAAGGAGAGCCUGGGCAGCCUCUCUCGGCAUCCUGGAUCUCUGCGGUUGAUUUUACCUGUGUUGGCAACUGUUUGCAGCUUACACCAACUACUGUCUGGCAGUGGACUAAUUAUCAUCAGGGAUAAGAAAUUAUAAAUGUGUAGACACUUCUGUUCUUAGACUAAUGGAGUAGAAUUGAGACCAAUGUAUCCGCUGCUACGAGGAGGCACAUUUCAACACAGAGAAGAUGUUCUAACAUUUCAGACUGGACAGCCGUGAAGUGGGCCAUCUUGCUCCCUGUCACCCAGGAGGUUUCAGAACAGAGUAGAAGUCCACUGGAUCAGAUGCUGCUAUGUCAUAUCACAUGCGAUGUCAACCCCAGCUUCAGUGGACAGCUCUGUGCAGCCUGUGACUCACCUCAUGCUGACACCAUUCUCUGCAUACCUUUCUGCCCUGGGCUUCUCCAAUGCCACAGGGGUGGAGGCUCUGCAUGGGCCCAACAGCGUGAGCUCCUUCUCACUGAGGCUGAUCUAGCUGGUGCUACUACUGAAUGUUGGGAGCAGAAAAUGGUGCUGAGACCUCAGUGUGGUAUCAUAUAUUCAGGAGUCAAAUCAGCCACCUUUGGCAAGUGCAUUACAUUGGGCCCCUCUGCCCUGGAAGGGGAAGUGAUUUGUCCUUUCUGGAAAUAACACCUACUCUGGAUAUGGGUGUGUCUUUAUUGCCUGAAGUGCCUCUGUCAGCACCGCUCUCUGAAGGCUGGGGAAAUGUGGAUUUGCUGACACAGAAUCCAAUAUAACAUUGUCUCAGGCCAAGGGAGCCAUUUUACAGCAAAGAAGGUGUGCGAACGGAUUCAUGACUAUGGG
rnacentral:lncRNA from 1 species